rnacentral:misc_RNA from 1 species
GAUGAAGAACGCAGCGAAAUGCGAUACUUGGUGUGAAUUGCAGAAUCCCGUGAACCAUCGAGUCUUUGAACGCAAGUUGCGCCUCAAGCCAUUAGGUUGAGGGCACGUCUGCCUGGGCGUCACAUAUCGUUGCCUGAUGCCAGUUUCCUCGUGAUGGGUGACUGUGCAGGGCGAAUGAUGGCUUCCCGUGAGCAUUGUUGCCUCAUGGUUGGUUGAAAAUUGAGUCCUUGGUAGGGAGCGCCGUGAUAGAUGGUGGUUGAGUGACGAACGAGACCCAAUCAUGUGAGACCCCUACCGAAUUUGGCCUUCAUGACCCACAUGCGUCUUUGGAACGCUCAUGACGAGACCUCAGGUCAGGCGGGGCUACACGCUGAGUUUAAGCAUAUCAAUAAGCGGAGGA